rnacentral:rRNA from 1 species
UACGAAGGGGGCUAGCGUUGCUCGGAAUCACUGGGCGUAAAGGGUGCGUAGGCGGGGCUUUAAGUCAGGGGUGAAAUCCUGGAGCUCAACUCCAGAACUGCCUUUGAUACUGAGGAUCUUGAGUUCGGGAGAGGUGAGUGGAACUGCGAGUGUAGAGGUGAAAUUCGUAGAUAUUAGGAAGAACACCAGUGGCGAAGGCGACUCACUGGUCCGGUACUGACGCUGAGGUGCGAAAGCGUGGGGAGCAAACAGG